rnacentral:rRNA from 1 species
CGGCGGACGGGUGAGUAAUGCCUAGGAAUCUGCCUGGUAGUGGGGGACAACGUUUCGAAAGGAACGCUAAUACCGCAUACGUCCUACGGGAGAAAGCAGGGACCUUCGGGCCUUGCGCUAUCAGAUGAGCCUAGGUCGGAUUAGCUAGUUGGUGAGGUAAUGGCUCACCAAGGCGACGAUCCGUAACUGGUCUGAGAGGAUGAUCAGUCACACUGGAACUGAGACACGGUCCAGACUCCUACGGGAGGCAGCAGCU